rnacentral:rRNA from 1 species
UACGUAGGGUGCAAGCGUUGUCCGGAAUUAUUGGGCGUAAAGAGCUCGUAGGCGGUCUGUCACGUCGGCUGUGAAAACCCGAGGCUCAACCUCGGGCCUGCAGUCGAUACGGGCAAACUAGAGUACUGCAGGGGAGACUGGAAUUCCUGGUGUAGCGGUGAAAUGCGCAGAUAUCAGGAGGAACACCGGUGGCGAAGGCGGCUAUCUGGACAGAGUCUGACGCUGAGGCGCGAAAGCUAGGGGAGCAAACAGG